CGAGCCGGCCGGGCGGUCGCGUGGGGAUCGCAAGAUCCUCCCGAGGAACGUCCGGGCUCCACAGGGCAGGGUGGUGGGUAACGCCCACCCGGGGUGACCCGCGGGACAGUGCCACAGAAAGCAAACCGCCCGGGCCGCACGGCCCGGUAAGGUGAACGGUGGUGUAAGAGACCACCGGUGCCCAGGGUGACCUGGGCAGCUAGGUAAACCCCACCCGGAGCAAGGUCAAGAGGGCCAUCGGCUGAUGGCCCUGCGCGGACGAUCGAGGGCUGCCCGCCCGAGUCCGCGGGUAGACCGCACGAGGCUGCCGGCAGCGGCAGCCCUAGAUGGAUGGCCGCCUCCGGCCGACCGCAAGGUCGCCCGAGACAGAACCCGGCGUACAGGCUGGACUCGUCCG
rnacentral:RNase_P_RNA from 1 species